AGCCUUGACUUCAUCACACCUGCAAAGUCCCUUUCGCCAGUGUACAGAAGAGCCCAGCUAAUUCGGUGAGACAAGAAAGGAAGCGAGAAGGACCAAGACUGAAAAGAGAAAAUCUCUCAUCUGCGAUCUAUGUGAUUAUCUGCCUAGAAGAUCCAAGAGACUCAAAGGGUCAUGUUGGAUGCCUGCCAUGUGGUAGGCAGGCCCUUUCCAGACACUUAAUAGAAGAUGAAGGAGCAGCUCCGUCCUCAGAGAGCUCCCCUGGCGAUGUGAGGUCCUGGCUUGAGGAGAAUGCGAGGAAACAGAAAGAAGUCCAUGAGAUUUCAGCUGGGGCCCUCUUUGGAUUUUCCAGAGUUACAUCUGCCGUCUGGGUCCAGAGGCUGCUUCGCCAGCAGAUGUGAUUAAUCUAGAGGAGGUGACAGCCACACAAGGCUGGCAUACCUGUAUGUGAUCAUGUAGCUACAUUAGAGGUCAUGGCUAACUCUGACCCCCUUCUCUGAUACUUGGUUCAAGCUUCUGCUUCAUACAUAGUUCAGAAUCACGUGGAGGAGUAGAAAGAACAGAAGAGUUGGCACCAAAGAGACCUGGGUUUAAAUCCUGCCUCCAUCCCUUCCCUUGCUAGGUGGGUGAUCUUUCAUUAAUUGAGCAAAUAGCGUCUGAGUGCCAACUAUAUGCUGGGCACUGAGAACACAGAGGUGAAUGAGACAGACAGAGCCCACCUCCUCUCAUGGAACUUACUCUCUGUAGGGAGGCACACAAAGACCCAAUGGUGGUAUUAUGAAAGAAAUAACCAGGGGGUUAUGGCAGAGAAUUAACAGUGGUGGGGAGAGAGGAGGUCCCACUGAGGUAGGAUGGUUGGGGAAGGCCUCUCUGUGGCAUUUAAAUUAACACUCAAAACUGAGGUAGAGCCAAUCAUGAAGGGAGGGGAAAGCCUUCUAAGCAGUGGGAACAGUAUGUGCAAAGGGCCCGAGGUGGGAAAGAGCCUGGCUUGGUGAGAAACCAAAAGGAGGCCAGAAUUAUCCCAACAUGGUAGGAGGGGCAGAGAGUGGUGAGAAGUAGGUCAGAGAGGAGAGCAGGGGCCAACAGGAAGCACUGGAGUUCAGGUGAAGUGCAAGAAGCCAUGGGAAUUUUAAGCAGGGGAGGGACACAGUUUGAUUUUUAAAUUAUUGUGGUAAAAUACACAUAACAUAACCAUUAUAAAGUACACAGUCAGUGGCAUUCGGUACAUUCACAAUGUUGGACAGCGCUCACCACUACUCAGUUCCAGAACUUUUCUGUCAUCUCAGAAGGACAUCUGGUGCCCAUUAAAGAGUUGGUCUCCAUCCCCACUCCCCUCCAGCCCAAAGGUCCCACUGACCUGCUU